UACGGGGGGGGGCAAGCGUUGUUCGGAAUUACUGGGCGUAAAGCGCGCGUAGGCGGCUUUGCAAGUCGGGUGUGAAAUCCCCAGGCUCAACCCUGGGAACUGCAUUCGAGACUGCAUUGCUAGAGUGUGUCAGAGGGGGGUAGAAUUCCACGUGUAGCAGUGAAAUGCGUAGAUAUGUGGAGGAAUACCGAUGGCGAAGGCAGCCCCCCUGGGAUAACACUGACGCU
rnacentral:rRNA from 1 species